AAAAUAUUUCAGAUCAACAAAGCUUCAUACUCCCAAGUUAAAUGCGGAACUAAAUGCUUUCGGAUUCAGCAACUAAAAGGGAGUGUUUUAUGUCUGAUACAGAUAAUCAACAAUGUUAGAUAAUCAACAAUUAGCGGGAUCAGCUCUCAUAACGAUAGGUUCACUCCUUUUAAUGUCAAUGAAUGGUAUAGACGAUAUGAAUAAACUAAUUUUCUUUCAAAGAUUAAGUAAUCCCGCUAAGUUGAUAAUGCAGAUUCACCAUAAUGAGAAUAAAUCUAGAAAGACCUUUAUACCCUCAAGGUUAACAAGCAGAUAAAAUCUGUUCUGAACGAUGCUAAGGUAGGAAAAUUUUUAUUCAGAGACAAUCUAUCAGAUAGAAUAAAAGAAGCUAAGACGAUAGAAAAAUUGUCCCAAAAUAUAAAGAAUCAAACAGCAACAAAACCGACUGUUUAUUCAAAUGUUAAGCAAAAUUUAAACUACGAAAACCUGUUGGGGUCGAGCAGCGUCAUCGAAUAACCAAAGCCAGAGCCGUUCUCGGAUAUCAUUCAAACCCAGAUAACUACCCAAAAGGACAGAAUCAUCGAGGGCUCAAAUCCAAAAGCGAAAUCAAAUAAACGUAUGUAUCGCUGCUAGAUUACAAUAUUUUUUGUCGAAAUGGCACAAAGUAACUUGAGACAAAUUUGUCAUCGAUUGUGUUCAGGGAUAUAGAAUAAUAUUUAAUCCCAAGGUAGUUCAAGAACAUUCUCCAAAAGUGAAUUUUAAAUUUACAUGAAACAACAACCCUACUCAGGAGACUACGUUUCUUCGUAAGUAAACAGAAAGGUUGCCUUACUCCAUCAACUAGAUGCAAAUAUCUAGGCUUCAUAAUUGAUUCUAUAGAAUUGUAGAACUACUCAAUAGAAUUGACGAGCAAGAAGAAACCCCGUUUAUUUAUAAUGAUUAAGCUACUUAAAUUUAAUAUAAUAUGUACGAUCAGAGACUUUGCAGAAUUGCAGAAGACUAAUAGCAGCUUGCUCAGCUAUCGAAUACGCUUACCGUGAAGGUUUCGAAGAGCGAAACAUCUUUAAUUCUUAAUAAUUAUAAUUGCAACAUUGAGAAAGUAAACUAACAAACUUAGCUAAGCAGAUUAACCCGGGAAUUUUUAACGUAAUAAUAUAUACCGAUGCGUCUACAUUCAGUUGAGGUACAGUAAGGGAAGAUAAAACAGCUUAUGACUUCUGAAAUAGUUUAAAGAAAGAACACAUAAAUUAUCUAAAAUUGUUGACGAGAGCUUUAAAGAAUUAGCUGCGGAUCUAGAAAAUUGUAAAAUCCAAUACUAUCACCAUAUCCAAUAUUAACAGCAUGAGCGGAAUCAAAAUCGUCAAGUAUAAUAAUUUAGCAAAAAGGAUAUGGUAGUUGGCCAAAAGGAGGAAAAUAAUUUUAUUUGCAUCAUACAUUGCACCUAAGAACACAGAAGGGAAUGCCCUAUAUCGAAUAGGGAAUGAGGAUGGUGAGUGGGAAUUAGCUAAUUCGGCUUUGAAUACAGUUAUUGAGAAAUUUAGCAACGCGGAAAUAGAUUUAUGAGAGAAACAGUAAAUUUAAUCGUUUUUACUCCUGGUUAUCUGAGAAAAAACCGGAAAUGUGGAUGUUACGCCCCGAGGCUUACUAUAGGCCGUGUUCCUAACCGUCUCCCUUGAUACUACAGUGUCGCAGACAGAUCGUCUUACAUGACCGGCGAGAUAUACACAAUGUAGCGAUAAGCGCAUAGUUGUCGUCCAGUAGCGAGUUCUCAAAAACAUCGAUUCACCUUCGGUCCGUUAUUUUACAUACACCAAAUCUUGAUAUUAAAGGCCUUAGUAAAGAUAAAAAAAAAGACAGGCGUUAGGGAUUCUGAUCGCCCGAAACUGAUCGAAGCUUGGUAUUAGAUUUUCAAUUCCUUCCUCAAGGAAGAACCAAGAAUCUCCAACUUUGACCUAAUCUCCUUCUGUCACCGUGCAGAUCGAGGAUGCAUCUCAUGACAAAGCAUGCUAAGUUUAAUAGAAGGAAGAUUAUCUGCCAAGCAUUUACGAAGGAUGGGAUCGGACAACAACAGAUAUUAUGGUAGCGUCACUAGUAGACGCAACUCUAUCGUAGUAUGAGUCGUCUCUCCGUCAAUAGCAGGUUUUCGCAGGAAGAAACAAUAUAUGUAGACUUUAUGAACCCUAAAUGCGAUAGCGUCCUAGAUUUUCUAACGGGAAAUUUUAACGCGUCUUAUGACGCAUUUAAUUUUCACAGGUCAAUAAUUUAUUUAAAGCCACAAGCUUGAAGAAGAUGAAGUGACUGCCCGUUUCCUGAAAGUAGUUUUCAAGUUAAAGAUCGCUUGACCAAACUAUGCGUAUACUUAAGACAUCCAUAAUGUUGGACUAUUUAGAAAAGCUUUAUCCAUUAAAAGAGUUGUGCCUAAAAAAUUUUGACCAAGGCAGCAAUGCUGAUAGCUGAAGUAUGCUUACACUCUCACGGACGUCAAACUCUUGUAAACAUUAAAAUCAAUAAUAUACACAAAUCUAGAAAAGCCCUGGAAAUUGGAAUCCCUGACAUCCUCAAGACGUCAGAUCCGAAGCAUUUUAACCACAGCUAAUUCUUUCAGAAUUCAGGAACAAGUCCAAAUCAUGCGUAGUCUCCGCAAUAUGGAGGCAUCAUAAGUCAAUCAGGUUUAGUCAGUGGAUGAAAUCAGUUCUGGAGGACAGUUGCAUCAAAACGAACACUUCGUCGGCUUAUCCAAAGAGGUGCAACAUCAAUAUCUACAGCAUUCAAGGGAAUCAAUCUGAACGUUAGGAGAAGGGCCGGAUAAAAUUUUAUAAUUGUCAGACAAUAAAUGCGGAAGAUUAUACCAAGGCGAUACUAGAUUAAGCCUUUAAUUAAACAUUAAGAUAUGUGAAUUUUUACAUCGUUAUUUAGCUAACAUAACCUUAUGUUUUUGUACAGUGUUAUACUUUGUUUCUAUAGUUUAUACUGUUAAUUAUAACUCAUUGCUGUUCAAAGUUUUACGAUAAUAAAGCGUUAGGAAGACGAAUAGAUAAAUAAAAGAGAUCUUCUACUCCAUAAAAUUGCCAUCUCUAAACAUCUAUAUAUAUAAUCCUAAGAACGAGGCUUAAAAUAUAAUCGAACGAUCAAACGAGCUUCACUGAAGUGAAGUUCGAUUGCAAUUAUAUGCAGAGCCUCGUUCGAAGAAAUUAUAUCUCAUCCGAAUUUAAGAUACUUUUUACUUUCUUUUUAACUUCAAAACUCUAAAAAUGAAGAACAAGAUGGCGGAAUGUCCCUUAGCUCCUGGCUGAUUUUUCUUUUGUCUUACUUUCGACGUUAUGAUAUAUAGGUAACAACAGAGAACUACUUGUACAAUCUCUUCGAACGCAGCUUUUCAUAUAAUUGUGGUCGACUUCGCUUUAGGAAAAUUCGUUUGAUGUUAAUUACAUCGUAUUAAAACGUAUACUAUAUAAAACAAUCUAUAAAUACAUAUUAUAUUUCAAAACAAAAGGUAUUCUAUAGCAAAAUUCAUUAAUGGUUUCGUAACUACGAAAGUCACGGAUCGUCUAGAAAGUAAUACCUGUUUACAUAUGAAACGUAUAUAGAAGCUAUAUAAAGCGGUAGAAUGUGCUUAUAAAAGUCACCUAAUUUCAUUCAUACGUUGAAAUAUAUCACGUAUAUUCGUAUUUAAAUGACUAAUAUUGUUAUUGUUUAAAAUAGCGAUGCGAAUUAAAAAUUGUGCCGAUGAUGAAGCGCACUGUUCUGUCACACUUUUAAGUGUCCAUCAUUUUAAGAAGUUCAUCAUCCGUUAGGAAUUCACUAUUGAAUUAUAGCAGUUGUUGGUAAUUAUGGAUGAAUUAAGGUCAUUGAUAAGACGAUGAGUACGGGAAUCCAAUACGGAUAGAAACACUGUAAUGUGAUCAUAAACGUUCUGGGCAUCCGUCUCUCAUUACAGAGAAGCUCAUGAAACAUGUCUACGAUUUUAUUAUAAAUGAUCGACGUAUCACACGAGCUACAUUUUGCAAAAUUGAAAGAACUUUUGGGUCGAUAAUACUUAGCAUGAAACGAUGAUUUAAAAGAAUACGUGAAAUACAGGUUAUGUGAACUCGUGACGGAAGUGUAAACUCGUCUUACGUUAAGUUAAGUGUUCAAAUAUUAUAAAAAGUCAAAGUGAUUGUACCGAAAAAUACAUAUCCAAGCAUAUAUACUAAAGUUACAUAUGAAGAAAGCUUUUUAAAAUGCAUUUCUAUUGUGGUUAUUUAAAAACUGGUAUUAUUCUCCGGAUACCUGCUUUUUCUAUAUACUUAUUACGAUCAAACAAAUGUCUUGAUACUUUCAGGCAUCUUAAUAUAUUUUAUCUUAAUAUAUCUCGUUACGAAAAUAUAACAAAGUAACGAACAUAGUAUUAAAUUAGUUGUUAAAUCCAAACAAUAAAACCAUGUGUCAAAUAUACAAAACCCCAGAAAAAGCUAAUACGUAAUGCUCUGCAUAAUUUGACAGUAUGAAUGAGAUUCAGUUGCUUAUAUUAACUGUAUUUACAAAAUCGAUGUUACUCACCAACGUUCUCGUAUUGUUAAACAUAUUUGACGUAAUUAACGAUGAAACUCGGAACUUACAUGUCCUUAGUUUCAGUUUAAAAAAUAGAUUGAAAUUAACUGAUAAGAUUCCGAAAAUGCACAAUGCAUUGAGAAAAUAUUCAGACUAAUACAGAAAAGCAUAUUUGCAUAUGGCCAAACUUUUAUUGUUCAAUGCUUCCGUUCUUUCUCUAUACAUUCUUAGUACAUACAGUUACUGGAAGCAUUUGAAAAAUGUAUCUCCUGUAAUUUAAACUAUUUAAAAUAAUACGAUAUCCAUAGAUCUUUAACGUUUCUCAAAAGCAAUGCAGCAUAUUACAUUUUUGACAGUUGGUAGCGUAACAGUUUAUUCGACCCAUUGGCAACUUCACACAAUCAAUUGUCAUAUGCGGGAAUGACAAUAUAUGCAAUAUACGAAGAUGAUAUAUCAUAAAUAACUUAAUCUGCAAAAAGUGGUAUCGAAAAUUUAAAGAUGAAAAUUUUUAUCUGACAGAUGCAUCUUAUCCUGGACGUCCUGUCACCACGGAUUCUGAAAUCAAUCAAAAUCUAAACCAAAAUCUAAAUCUAAAAUCAAGGUUGUAAUCGAUGGCAACCACCAGCUAACAACACGAAAGGUUAGUCAGGUAUUAAACGUAUGAUUUGAUAUGACUGUUUCAAGACAUAUACGUGACCUUGGGCUGACUAAGAAGCUCGAUACUUAGUGCCGUAUGAAUUGAGCGAUAGAAAUUUAAUCGAUCAGAUCUGCUUGCGAUUCGCUACUAAAACGCAUUAAAGGGAAUAAUUCUUUUAAAGACCCCUCAUUGGCAACAAAAAAUGGCUUGUUUAUAAUAAUGGUAGCCAACAAAGAUCAUGAUCGAAAUCCAACGAGACAUUACGAGACAUUACAUUAUAGCGAAGGCUGGAAUUCAUUUGAAAAAAGUAAUGUGUAUAUAGUGGAACUGGAAAAGUGUCAUAUACUGUGAGUUGUUGCCAUCUAAUGAAACGACCAUCUAAAUUCGACCAAGUAUUGUUCGCAAUUAGCGAAAUUAAAGAAGGCAAUCGACGAGAAAAGAAGAGUUGGCCAAUAGGCAGGGUGUUGUGUUCUUACACGGCAACGCGAUGUUUCAUUGGAUACCAGGCAAAAAUUACUAGAGUUCGUCUAAGAUAUUUUGGUGCAUCCAUCACAUACUCAGGACCUUAUACCCUCCGAUGUUCAUUUAUCCUGUUCGUUGCACGAUGUUCUUAAUAGUAUAGUGUGAAGUUAACAGAUUUAAAUAUAUGCAAAAAUUUCUUGGACACAUAUUUUGCGAAGAAGACACGAAUUUUAUAAGAAACGAAUAUUUCUGCUGUCAGAAAAAUGGCAGAAGACAAUCAAUCAACAUGGAAAAUGUAUAAUUGAUUAAAGCUACGACUAACUGUUAAAAAAAAAAAAUAAAAGAA